ACACACACAGAUAAAAUAAAUUGAAGAAUUAUAAAAUAUAUGUAAAAAAACACAACUGAAACGAUGUGAGAAAUUUGUUUUAAAUUAAUUUUUAAUUACAUUAUUUUCUACACCAGGUCGCUGAAGUCGCUAGUAGGUGUUUAGUUAUUUAAGUGAUGAUGAUUGUUCUAGUUAAAGUACGAACAAAAAAUAGGUUAAUAAAUAAUAUUUAAUAUAACAUACUUUCAAGAGAACCGUUAUUUUUAGACAAUAAAAAGUAUUAUCACGAGUCGUAAUGAAUUUCAUGAGUAUUAUUAUUGGAAAUAUUGGAAAUACUCAAAAUACUGAUCUUUUGUUUAAUUUCAACAAUCUGUAAUUUCAAAAUUGAAAGUGGAAAUUUUGUCAACUGUGGACGUGGAGGGAAAUUAAAUAAAAAAUCGAGGAUUAUUCCACAUGACUGGUUUAUGGAACAUAUAUAUACCCAUGUUUGCUUCUUUCAAAAGCAGUUU
rnacentral:lncRNA from 1 species